rnacentral:rRNA from 1 species
UACGAGGGGGGCAAGCGUUGUUCGGAAUUAUUGGGCGUAAAGGGUGCGUAGGCGGUUUGGUAAGUCUUAUGUGAAAUCUACAGGCUCAACUUGUAGUCUGCAUGAGAAACUGCCGGGCUUGAGUAUGGGAGAGGUGAGUGGAAUUCCUGGUGUAGCGGUGAAAUGCGUAGAUAUCAGGAGGAACACCUGUGGCGAAGGCGGUUGCCUGGGGCUUUGCUGACGCUGAUGCGCGAAAGCGUGGGGAGCGAUCCGG